rnacentral:rRNA from 1 species
UACGUAGGGGGCAAGCGUUGUCCGGAAUCAUUGGGCGUAAAGAGCGUGUAGGCGGCCAGAUAAGUCCGCUGUGAAAUCUCGAGGCUCAACUUCGAGCUGUCGGUGGAAACUGUCUGGCUAGAGUCCGGAAGAGGAGAAUGGAAUUCCUGGUGUAGCGGUGAAAUGCGCAGAUAUCAGGAAGAACACCCGUGGCGAAGGCGGUUCUCUGGGACGGUACUGACGCUGAGGCGCGAAGGCGUGGGGAGCGAACGGG